ensembl:snRNA U6 U6 spliceosomal RNA
UUGCUUCAGCAGCACAUGUAGUAAAAUCGAAAUAAUACAGAUUAACAGGGCCCCUGAACAAGGAUAAUGUACAAAUUUAUGAAGUGUUCCCAUAUUUU